rnacentral:rRNA from 1 species
UACGUAGGGUGCGAGCGUUAAUCGGAAUUACUGGGCGUAAAGCGUGCGCAGGCGGUUGGUUAAGUCUGAUGUGAAAGCCCCGGGCUCAACCUGGGAAUGGCAUUGGAAACUGGUCAGCUGGAGUGUGGCAGAGGGGGGUGGAAUUCCGCGUGUAGCGGUGAAAUGCGUAGAUAUCUGGAGGAACACCGGUGGCGAAGGCGGCAUCCUGGACCAACACUGACGCUGAGUGAGCGAAAGCCAGGGGAGCAAACGGG